rnacentral:piRNA from 1 species
UGCCACAACCGGUCUUCAAAA